AUAUCAGGACCGGAGCCGCCCGGGAUAGCCGCCAGAUUUUGGAAUCUCCAAGUUGGAUAGAAAUGCUGUCAGCUGUUCACGGAAGUCUGAUCCUGAUAUUCUAAACCCGAAAAGUGAUAAGAAUCUUGACAGAGAACUAAGUCCACUCCCACUUGAAUGAAACUCUUACCCAGGGAAAACGAAAACUACUCCUGCCUGCCUCCCUCCCCUCAGCCCCCAGGAGAACCGUGAAAUGCCUGCUGAAUUGAGAGACUGGAAAAGAACAGAGCAAGGCAGAGCCCCUGAGGUCUUUGCCACAGGAGAGUGAUCAACAUCUGAGUCCUUUGCAUCCUUAUUUUACCCUGACUUCAGUUAAUGCCACCAAUGUCCAGUGUGCACACUCUCAGCACACACACAGGCAGUGCCAUGAAGUGGAGGGGACAGAAAAGCUUUCCACACCAAAACUCUUCUCCAUGCAAACAAAAGAAUGGCUGUCUCGCCUUAGAAGGAAGCCCUGGCUAGGGUGAUUUCAGGGGUUAAUCCUCAAUGAAAGAGGGUUAAGCAGAGACUUGAAGAUUGCUGAGGUUUUAUGAUGGUGAAUUGCCUGGGGAAUCCACAUUCAGAUCAGCCUUGGUAUGUUUUGCUGAGUGAGAUAAGAGUUGGAGACUUCAUGCUGGGACAUGUGCAAAAGGAAGGGAAAAAAUUAAAAGGGGAGGGGAAGGAACUAGGCAACUAAAAACAGCCCACUCGUGGCAACCAAAUCUAAACAGAAAAACAUUGCAGGGAGCCAAACGCAAAAGAAAAAACAAAAAAGUUUGAGAUAUUUAAAGGUUCUAGCAGUUUCUUAGUUCAGUGCACAGUCCCUUCCCACAUUCCUCUGCCCCAUUACUCUGUUCUCUAAACCCUAAGACUGUAUUCGUGCCCAGAAUGCUAGAAACACAAGAUAAGAUCUGCCAGAGAAGCGGCAGAGUACUAGCAGCUCUGUCUGCCUGGCUCAACCUACUUCUUCGCUUUGGAACGGGAGUGGAGUCCAUUUUCUUAUACUUUAUUCUGUUUCCGAAGCUCACUCUUUCUACAAAGUCAGUUUGAAUGUGGGGAUUGCUAGUUUAAUAGUGUCCAAAAUUGGCAUUGUCAGGAAACAGGGGCAGCAUCACACAGUAGGCACCAAAGUGUGGAAGGCACUUGGAUUCUGGAUUCAGCACUUAGAUGCUGUGUCACCUUAAGUAAGUUAUUUCCUCAAAUGAAAAAUGGCACUAACAAUAGCACCUAAUGCAUAAGAUUGUUGUGACAUUUCUCUGAGGAUGUGGCACCCAGUCAGCCCUCAGUAGUGGUAUCAUUAAUUAAUUAUGAAUCAAGAGAAGCUUUCUGAGGUACCCUUGAAUCUCUCCAGGAACUCAUUCAGUAUCACUUGUCAGUGGAAAAUAGUGGAUGAAGUCAAGCGAUCUCCAGGAAUGACAAUCAAGAGGGGGCGGGAGUGAGAGCCCAGGCAGACACUGAUGAAAGCCAUCCUCGUUCCCCAUCACAGCAACUCCACCACACACCUGGGGCUCUCCUCAAUGCUGGAUGGCCCUGCCAAGUAUCCUGGGCUAGGAGCAGGGGAUUUGGGUUUGGGGUCUGGUUCUGUCUUUGGUAUUCUUGAGCAAGGCACUCCCCGUUUCUAAGGCUCCCAACUUUUCUGAAGUGAGGAGCCUUGGGCUGAGCUCUGACGGUCCUGAAUGGGGACCCUCUGCCAAAGCCACCCUAUGAGCUUCUGGCAACUUUCCCUAAGAGAGAUGGGGAGAGAGAAGACAUCAUAGGUAAGGCACUGAAUAGAACAAGGACAGACCCAUUUCUGCAACCUUUCUUCCCCUCCAAAAACUAGAGUUAAGAAAUGUUGUCCAACUUAAACACAGCCUGUCCUUCUCCCACCUCCAAUACUUCCAAGAAUUUUCACCCCCAUGGACUAGGUGCCUUGUGAGAGAGGGAUGUGGCAGAACACCCCAGGCAUGGAUUACAUCUCUGGUGACUUCUUGUGUGUAGCCCAUCAUCAACAACCAUAGACAUCUACCUUGGUCUACAGGGCCAAAACCCAGGUAGCAGAUAUUCCCAUUUGAGAGAUUGAAUCCAGAGACCCCAGAAUCCAAGAUGAAGUCCUGGAAGUCAGUAGAUUAGCAGGACUCAGGAGACCGGGGAUUCAUCCACAGGUUUACCUCCAGUCAACUGAGUGAGUAUACAAGUCAUAAACACGAUGUCUCAGUUUCCCAGUCUAUAAAACGUAACCACUUAGCAUUGACUCCCCCUAGGUUGUUGUAAGAAUCAAAUGAGAUAGUAGAUGUGAAAGUGAUUUGAAGAUAAAAGAUUCAUAGUUUUAAAGAUUUCUUUGGGGAAAGUUUUACUAUAAUUUUUUUGUCAUUAUGAAAAUUUGGGAAACAGACAAGGGAAAAAUAUUACCCACAAUCUCAACACUAUUAACACUGUAGUGUGUUUCCCUCUAAUCUUUUUUCUCAUGUACAUGAUUUUAAAAUACAGUUAUGAUUUUAGAUUGCAUGCACCUUUGAAAUUUGCUCUUUUGCUUAUUACCUCGAAUGGUAUAUGGUCUUUCUUCUUAAAAAUAUGUCUUAUUAUAAAGUAUAGCAUAUAUACAAAAGAUUAUAUAGAACACACACACACACACACACACACAUAUAUAUACACACACAUUUUAAUAAUCAAACACAUUAGGAACUCACCACUCAAGAAGUAGACCUCUUUGCUUCCCAGAGGUAACCACUAUCCUGAUUCUUAUUACCAUAACUUGCCAAUGGAUGUUCUAUGAUUUACUUAAUCAUUUCCCUACUUUUAGAAUUUAGAGUGUUGCUAAUAUUUUGCUUGAAUGCUAUACAAAUUCAAAUAUUUUUAUAAGAGAAAGGAUAUCAAAUACCAUCAUUGCUCAGGAUGCUUAAAUGGGGUUAAAGAAUGAGUCUUGAUGUCUACCUUCAAAUGCUACACACGGCAUAUAUAUGGUGGAAGAUGGAAGGACCCCCAAAGAUUGUGACUACUUGUGCAUUUUCCUUGUUUCCUAACAUCCAAACAAAAAAUCCUGCAGGCGCUUUUUCCUUUUUUUAAAUCCCUGCCCCUCUCUGCUUCCCAUCCUCCUUUAUUUCCUCUUCAUCUACCUUGAAGCAGAAAAUGUAGUCUGCAGCAUGGGCUAGUAAUACAGAAUUAGAGCAGCCAGGCUGUGCUUCUCCCUGUGCCUUCAGGCAAAAUUCUCAGUGUAGCUCGGGCAGCUCUAGCAUCUCUAUGCCAGUUUGGUGACAUGAGUGGCUACCAGGUAGCUGGUCACUUCAGUCUGCACCUGAGCAGGUGUAGAUGUUUGGCGGUGAUUCUCAGAACUAAAAGACACCAUAGCCAAAAGGACCCUAGAAGUCAUUCACUUCCAUUUUCUCAAACUGGACAUGAGCACACACAGGUGUACCAGGGCCAUGAGAUAAACAAAGGAGAUCUUACUUGAGUGUCUGCCUUAAAUAAAAAAUCCUUAAAAUAUUGUGUUGUAUUAAACAUAUAUAGAUAUGUGGAAUUUGAAUGUAAGUCAUGCAAGGAUUUCUAAGGAAAGAGAGAAGAUAUCAAAUACAUUCUGGGUCUAGCAUCGGCUGCCAAAAGUUUUAUUCCUGGGACCUUGAGAGGAUUAGUUCCCUCCCUUCUUUCUAAGUGUAAAAUGUUACUAUGUAGCAUUCUGGGUGUUCCGUGCUAUGUACUAAGCCCUUUACGUACAGUUAAUGCUUUUAAUUAUUGUAACCACCCUUUGAUGGACCGUAAACAUCUCCAUUUUAUAGAUGAGGAAACUGAGGCACAGACAGGGUAAAUAACUUGCCAGAAGUUACCUAGCUAGUGAGCAGUAGAGCAGGACUCAACCCAGGCAGUCUGACUCCCAAGUCUGAGUGCGCAACCACGAUACCUACCACCUCCUGGCAAGUGCUCACGGGAAACUUGGGAUGCUCUGAUGCAGUUCAGGGCCCUCCUUUGAUGGAUGAGGAAACUGAGCUUACAGAGAAAAAUGUGGCUCUACAUCGUGUCAGAAUCAUAAAUUCUCAUACCGAAAGGAACCUUAGCAGCCAUUGAGACUCGUGAACCCCUUUUUUGCCCUCCACCUGGGGAGAUGCUGCUUUUGCUAAGAAUAGGGCCAAGGUGAAAAAAGCUGAUUGUAAGAAGAGCACCCUAAAACAUUUUAGGGGCACCUUAGCUAGUGGCUGGCAAGGCAUACUAUCCUUGGGGCUGAAAAGGGGAUGGUGUAGGGUAGAAGCCAGGGAUGGCAGAAAGAACCUGUGGUCAGAUAGAACUGAGUUCAAAUCCUCUUUCUGCCACUGCUUAUUUAGUUUUAAGAAGGUCUUAUAACCUCAGUUUCUCCUGUAAAAUGAGGAUAAUGUCUGUUUCCUCAUUUAUAUCUGUUUCCUUAAUCAUGGGAUUAAGGAACAAUACACCUUUAUUAUACAUUGUAUGCCUGUAUCAAAAUAUCUCACAUGCCCAAUAAAUAUAUACACCUACUAUAUACCCCCCAAAAUUAAAAAACAAUUCACCCUCAAAAGUGACAUUCAAUAAAUAUUGCUUUUUUCCCUCUUCACGCCUUACCCUUGAAGCUACCAAGUCAUAUGGAAACCUGAGACACCAAAGUGUCUAGACCCUCAUGGAAAGUUCCAUCUCUCAGGCUGGCUUACUGACUGAUUUUAAAACAAAUUUAAAAAAACUUGAUGUGUGGCCAGGUCCUAUUUAGUAAUUACUAUUUACUGAGCACAUACUACAUGCCAGGCACAAUAGUAAGCACUUUUAAAAAUACCCAGUAUCUUAUUUCAUCCUUAUAAUAACCUGUGAGGUAGGUUUUUUAUCUCGGUUUUACAGAUGAGGAAACCAAAGCACAGAAAGGUUAAGAAAAUUGCUCAUAGGUACUUGAUUUAAACACAAAUCUAACUUAUUUCAAAACUUACAUUAAGCGAUACUGUCCUCAAAAUCUUAGAGAGCAUGAUGUGUGUUUACUUUUCUUUAGCCUUCCCUACCUUGUUGAAAAUGAGCACCCUCGCUUUACCAAAGUCUUGCUGAAUGCACAGAUGCUUCUAGAGUUGACCUUACCAGAAAAUUCUUACUCCUGAUGUCCCAGAGGAUACAUGCUUAAUAAAUUCCAGAUCCCUGUGCCCUCAGGGAUACUUUCCCCCCUGCCAAAUUUGCAAUUAUUUCAUAAUUUGCUUUAACCACAAACAUAAGCCCUGUUAUUGACUGAGUAAACUGAGUAGGGCUUUUUGGACUUUUAUUCUUUUCCCAAAAUACGAUGAACUUGAAUCAUCAGAUGAUGAACUUGUACUUGAAACUAGAGUGGCUGAGGGCAAAGUGAGUCACUCCAGUGAGUUUAUGCCUAUCAAUCAAUGCAUCAAAUUGUGUCCUAUUACCGGACACUGCUCUCAGCAGUCUACUUAGACACCUUGGGGUUACAAGGACAAUAUAAGAGCAUUUCUUGACCUGAAGAGUUAAAAAUCUUGUUUAGGUGGCAAAUUAAUAUACAUGAAGCAGAAGUCCAGCAAUAUAGUAGGUAUUUUAUAUAUAUACUAUAUAUAUAUGUAUGUAUGUUUAGUCCUCCAACAUUUUAACGAGCACCAACUAUAUGCUGGAUACCGUGUCAGAAGCUGCAGGUACACAGUGAUGCAUAUCUGCCUUCCAGGUGCUCACAGCCCAUGGGGAGACAGACUUGAUAACAAAUAGUUACAGCCUGAUGCAGCAAGGGCUAAAGUGGGGCAGGACGGCUCUGCCCAGGAAAGCUGGCAAGAGCUGAUGGCUGAGGUGACUGUCGAGCUGGAUGUUGAGCCGACCGUUUUCUAGGCAAGGGAAGUGGACAGGCAUUCCAGGCAUAGAGAAAGUCAUAUGAAGAGGCUGUGAGUGCCAGGAAGGGGCUGUGCCCUGCUCAUCUCUGUCCUUAUUUCCAGCUCUUUGCACAGUUCCAGGCACAUGCCAGACCCACAGUGAAUACGCAUUCAGUGGAUGAAAAUACGGAAUGGAGAGAACAUGCACAGUGUUUGGAGAACAGUGAGGCAAUUGCUGAGCAGGAGUAUUUGUGGAAGGGAGGAGACGUUAGGGAAGCAAGUCUGGGAAGAACAGACUGUGAUAGCCUUUGAAGAUGUAAUAAUCAGUUUGGACUCUGUCCCCAGGGACAAAGGGAGGGGGUCUGUCAGUGGCAGAUGGACACAAACAGAUGUUUUUCAGGAAGACUGCUGGUAGAGGGCUGAGGGUGGGCUGGAUGGGAGAGGAAGAUGCCCAUGGAGGGCCAUCAGGAGGCUGCAACACUGGUCAGGUGAGGCCAUCGGAGGCCAGAUGAACUGUGAAGAUGGUGGUAUCCCCACUCUCGUAUGUUGUUCACUCA
rnacentral:lncRNA from 1 species